rnacentral:rRNA from 1 species
UGCAGCCGAGCGGUAGAAGAUCUUCGGAUCUUUGAGAGCGGCGUACGGGUGCGGAACACGUGUGCAACCUGCCUUUAUCAGGGGGAUAGCCUUUCGAAAGGAAGAUUAAUACCCCAUAAUAUAAUGAGUGGCAUCACUUAUUAUUGAAAACUCCGGUGGAUAGAGAUGGGCACGCGCAAGAUUAGAUAGUUGGUAGGGUAACGGCCUACCAAGUCAGUGAUCUUUAGGGGGCCUGAGAGGGUGAUCCCCCACACUGGUACUGAGACACGGACCAGACUCCUACGGGAGGCAGCAGUGAGGAAUAUUGGACAAUGGGUGAGAGCCUGAUCCAGCCAUCCCGCGUGAAGGACGACGGCCCUAUGGGUUGUAAACUUCUUUUGUAUAGGGAUAAACCUUUCCACGUGUGGAAAGCUGAAGGUACUAUACGAAUAAGCACCGGCUAACUCCGUGCCAGCAGCCGCGGUAAUACGGAGGGUGCAAGCGUUAUCCGGAUUUAUUGGGUUUAAAGGGUCCGUAGGCGGAUCUGUAAGUCAGUGGUGAAAUCUCAUAGCUUAACUAUGAAACUGCCAUUGAUACUGCAGGUCUUGAGUAAAGUAGAAGUGGCUGGAAUAAGUAGUGUAGCGGUGAAAUGCAUAGAUAUUACUUAGAACACCAAUUGCGAAGGCAGGUCACUAUGUUUUAACUGACGCUGAUGGACGAAAGCGUGGGGAGCGAACAGGAUUAGAUACCCUGGUAGUCCACGCCGUAAACGAUGCUAACUCGUUUUUNGGGCUUUCGGGUUCAGAGACUAAGCGAAAGUGAUAAGUUAGCCACCUGGGGAGUACGUUCGCAAGAAUGAAACUCAAAGGAAUUGACGGGGGCCCGCACAAGCGGUGGAUUAUGUGGUUUAAUUCGAUGAUACGCGAGGAACCUUACCAAGGCUUAAAUGGGAAUUGACAGGUUUAGAAAUAGACUUUUCUUCGGACAAUUUUCAAGGUGCUGCAUGGUUGUCGUCAGCUCGUGCCGUGAGGUGUUAGGUUAAGUCCUGCAACGAGCGCAACCCCUGUCACUAGUUGCCAUCAUUCAGUUGGGGACUCUAGUGAGACUGCCUACGCAAGUAGAGAGGAAGGUGGGGAUGACGUCAAAUCAUCACGGCCCUUACGCCUUGGGCCACACACGUAAUACAAUGGCCGGUACAGAGGGCAGCUACCUAGCGAUAGGAUGCGAAUCUCGAAAGCCGGUCUCAGUUCGGAUUGGAGUCUGCAACUCGACUCUAUGAAGCNGGAAUCGCUAGUAAUCGCGCAUCANCC